rnacentral:rRNA from 1 species
CCUACGGGCGGCAGCAGUGGGGAAUAUUGCACAAUGGGGGAAACCCUGAUGCAGCCAUGCCGCGUGUGUGAAGAAGGCCUUCGGGUUGUAAAGCACUUUCAGUAGGGAGGAAGGUAGUGCAGUUAGCACCUGCAUUAUUUGACGUUACCUACAGAAGAAGCACCGGCUAACUCCGUGCCAGCAGCCGCGGUAAUACGGAGGGUGCGAGCGUUAAUCGGAAUUACUGGGCGUAAAGCGCAUGCAGGUGGCCUGUUAAGUCAGAUGUGAAAGCCCGGGGCUUAACCUCGGAAUUGCAUUUGAAACUGGCAGGCUAGAGUCUUGUAGAGGGGGGUAGAAUUUCAGGUGUAGCGGUGAAAUGCGUAGAGAUCUGAAGGAAUACCAGUGGCGAAGGCGGCCCCCUGGACAAAGACUGACGCUCAGAUGCGAAAGCGUGGGGAGCAAACAGGAUUAGAUACCCGUGUAGUC